ACGGGACACGUGAAACCCUGUGGGAAGCAGGAGGGACCACCCUCCAAGGCUAAAUACUACCUAGUGACCGAUAGCGUAUAGUACCGUGAGGGAAAGGUGAAAAGAACCCCGGGAGGGGAGUGAAAUAGAACCUGAAACCCUGCACUUACAAGCUGUGGAAGCACAUUUCUUGUGUGACCGCGUACUUUUUGUAGAACGGGCCAACGAGUUACGUUAAGUAGCAAGGUUAAGCACUUAAGGUGCGGAGCCGUAGCGAAAGCGAGUUUUAACUGAGCGUUCAGUUACUUGACGUAGACCCGAAACCGGGCGACCUACCCAUGAGCAGGAUGAAGCGAAAGUAAAAUUUCGUGGAGGUCCGAACCCACGAGCGUUGAAAAGCUCGGGGAUGACUUGUGGGUAGCGGUGAAAUUCCAAUCGAGCCCGGAGAUAGCUGGUUCUCCCCGAAAUAGCUUUAGGGCUAGCCUCAAGGUGAGAGAUACGGAGGUAGAGCACUG
rnacentral:rRNA from 1 species